CGCUCAGGGUUUGCGGAAUGGAGAGUAAACGGAGGGUUCUUCAGGAGGGGAGGGGAAAGGUAGGUUUAAAUCCCCCAGCCCCACAGUCAGCGUCUGGGUUUUGUGUGCGCCGCUUUCUUCUCUUUGGAGGUCAUGAGUAGCAACUCCUGUCGGGGCCCACCCCCGCUGCGCUGCCGGCAGUGGGCGUUUCCCGCCGAGACCCCCGCGCUCGGCCUUGAAUUUGACUGCAGGCUGGAGGCGCCACCAUUGCGAGUGGAGUGGGCCGGGGUUGGACGACAGGAGAGACCAUGGACCGGAUGGUGGAAAGGGCGGGAGCUGCUCGUUCGCGUUUCGCCGUAGCGAGGAUCCGGGUCGCCCUGCUUGCACCCCGGACUCGAAGAUGCUGCAGGGGUCAGCGUGCCAUCUCCGUCUCAGAUGCAACCGGGUUGCAUCGUUUUUCUUGAAGACGUCUAUUCCAUUGUUGUUCUGUUGACCGGUCCCACUUUCCUGAGUCCUUUGGAAUUGAGUUAUGUCCACAGCUGCCUUAAUUACUUUGGUUAGAAGUGGUGGGAGCCACGUGAGAAGGAGAGUGCUGCUGAGCUCCCGCCUACUGCAGGACGACAAGCGGCUGACACCCACCUGCCACACCUCCACUACUGAGCCUAGGUGUUCUCGGUUUGACCCGGAUGGCAGCGGGCGUCCAGCCACCUGGGACAAUUUUGGGAUCUGGGAUAACCGCAUCGAUGAGCCCAUUCUGCUGCCGCCCAGCAUUAAGUAUGGCAAGCCAAUUCCCAAAAUCAGUCUGGAAAACGUAGGCUGUGCCUCGCACAUUGGCAAACGAAAAGAGAAUGAAGACCGGUUUGUCAGCGCUCAGCUAACGGAUGAGGUCCUGUACUUUGCCGUGUAUGACGGGCACGGCGGACCUGCAGCUGCUGAUUUCUGUCACACUCACAUGGAGAAAUGCAUCAUGGAUUUGCUUCCUAAGGAGAAGAAUUUGGAAACUGUGUUGACCUUGGCUUUUCUAGAAAUAGAUAAAGCCUUUGCAAAGCACGCCCACCUGUCUGCUGAUGCAACCCUUCUGACCUCUGGGACUACUGCAACAGUAGCCCUGGUGAGAGAUGGUAUUGAACUGGUUGUAGCCAGUGUUGGGGAUAGCCGGGCUAUUUUGUGUAGAAAAGGAAAACCCAUGAAGCUGACCAUUGACCAUACUCCAGAAAGAAAAGAUGAAAAAGAAAGGAUCAAGAAAUGUGGUGGUUUUGUAGCUUGGAAUAGUUUGGGACAGCCUCACGUGAAUGGCAGACUUGCAAUGACAAGGAGUCUUGGAGAUUUGGAUCUUAAAACCAGUGGUGUGAUAGCAGAACCAGAAACAAAGAGGAUUAAGCUGCAUCAUGCCGAUGACAGCUUCCUGGUCCUCACUACGGAUGGAAUUAACUUCAUGGUGAAUAGUCAAGAGAUCUGUGACUUUGUCAAUCAGUGCCAUGAUCCCAGUGAAGCAGCCCAUGCUGUGAUUGAGCAGGCAAUACAGUAUGGUAGUGAAGAUAACAGUACUGCGGUAGUAGUGCCUUUUGGUGCCUGGGGAAAAUACAAGAACUCAGAAAUCAACUUCUCAUUCAGCAGAAGCUUUGCCUCCAGUGGACGAUGGGCCUGAUUGCUUGCUGGGACUUCUGUGAAAUGGUUUUUCACUGAGUAUGUCAAGAAACUUACUAGAUCAAACAAGUCAGCUGUGUCGGGGUGACUCUGACUCACUAGAUCAGUACACAAGUCAGUGUAAAUGUUCUAGCCAUUUACAUUGUAGUGUUUCAUAAAUAUCUGUCCUAUUUAUGUUCAACUGUACGUACUCAGUAUAGUACGUACUCAGUAUAAAUAUGUGUGGUUCAGCUAUUGUGAGUCUCGAAGUUGAGUGAGCAAAUGAAAAGUGGUUUUGACACACUUGCUGUGUGUUAAAUUUCUAAUUUUCUAAAACUCUUAGGCAGCUAUGAGUUUCUUUUAAUCAGUUGUGUUCUUUAUUCAUUUGGACAGAUUCUUGCCUUAGAGUUCUGCAACACUAGUAGGCAUUUUGACAGCUCUGCAAUGUGUUAGCUGCAAGUGUUUAUUUUUAAUAGUUCUACCAAGGAAUAAGUGUGAAAACUGAGUUCUGUGUGACUAUAUUUUGUAUCCUGGACCACUUACUGAUAAACUUCACCGUGCAAAAGACAUUAAUUGACAGACUAUGACGUUGCUAAAGCAUGCGCAUAUUUACGACAGUGCACUUUCGUAUUUCAGCUGUGUCCCUUGGUCUCCAUUCUUCUUUUUCUGUAGCUAAGAAUGCUGUAUAGUUACACAGACUACUCCUUUAAAUCAGAGAAGUAUGUACAGGCUGAGGCUUUUAGUCAAAGCUAUACGAACUGAAAUACUGACAGUAUCAAGUACUUUGUAUAAAGUUCCACUUGUUAUCUCUAACUCUGUGUUUUGUGUUUUGUAUAUAGUAUGUUUAUGUCACUUUUUGUAUAGAGUAAGCAAGUUGGAUAAUGUGUCAGUAAAAAUGAUACCACAUUGACUGACAAUGCUACAGACAUAAUGUGAGGUUUAUGUCUCCUUUCGCUUAUUUCUAUGAUUCAUAACAAAGAAUAAAUCUAAAACAUUAAAGCAUUCUAUAUUUCAGCUUGCUAAUGUAAUUUAGGAAUGCAAAACUAUACUUCCUUACAUCUGCAUGUAAGUUUGCUGUUAAAAUGUGAAUCUCUACAUCAUGUUUGGAAUUAUAUCUGCAGUUUAUUUUGGCAGACAAUGUAAAUUUGUUAUAUGUGUGAGUGUAUGUACAUAUGUAAAUUUUGGAAUAAUAGAGAAUUAAAGGGAACAAUCUUGCAUAGCUCCUUCACCAGUUAGCUUUAAAUUACUGAUAUGUUUAUCCUCAAGGACUCUUGACAAACGGAAGACAGUUUUAUAGUGGAGAACCAGUGGUAUUGGCAGGUGAGGAAGUGAAUUUAAAAUGGCUGUAGGAGAUAUUUUGUGGUGGGUAAAUGAUGUGGAAAACAGAAGCAGACUAGCAUGUUGAAGCUACAUUGCUAUAUGGUAAUUUGCAAAUAAAAUACUAGGAUGUGAGGAAAAUACUGAGUGUUAAGAAUGAUGUGGAGUUUUGUUGUAGAAACAAGCAAAAAAAGAAACCAAGAAGAUAAAGUUGGUGGAGUGUAUGCCUUCUACUCUCAGUUUCAUGGUCGACUUGUUUUCUGUUUUUAUGUUUUAUUUAAAGGUUUGUUAGAAGGAAGAUGGCCCAAUACAAAUAUUCACAUCUUCUCACCUUUGGGAAUGGAAGAAAAUAAAUCUUGAGUUUUCCUGCAUAUAUUAAUCAGGAAUUUUCCUUUGACAAGAAGAAGGUGACAAAGAAAUAUUUCAAUUUUUUUUUUCCCAAGGAACCUUAGUGAAAGUAAAAAACAUUACAGAAAAGAAAAUAGUCUCCUGUUCCUUGUCUGGGAAGUGAAGAACCAAAGGUAGGCUAAGAAAGCUGGAACACUUUCUUGUUCUAUCUGAGUUAGGUCCCAGAACCUAAAUAUAGAAGCUUCACUUGGGAAUAUGGAGAAUUUCCAAACUAACAAGCAAACAAAAACUCUAAAGCACAAAAUGACAUUCUGAAAAUGAAGGUUUCAUUUUUGAUCUGAAUUCUUCACAUGACUAUUCCUCUCUUUUACUUUAAAAACUAAGGGCGGGAGUGAUGUUGUCAAGCUCAAAAGUCACUGAUGCACUGAGGCAAGUGCCAGGUUUAACAAAGAGGAAUUUGAAGGGUUGUCUAGGCCUUGGUUUGGGGUAGACUUUGCUCUGCUUCGCCUGAAAAGCUUUUAAAACUCAAAAUCAGUCAACUUUGACUAAAGCAUAAACACAUACUGGUGUUUGUUUUUUAAGCCACAAUGUUGAAGUAUAAUUUGUAGGUUAUUGUAAUCCACAAAAGAUAAUAAGCCUACAAGGAAUUAUGCAAAUAGUAAUGAAGAAAGGACUGCUCUAAAUACAGUUUUUUUACUUAUAACUGUGAAUUUACCAUGUGGCUAUUACCAUGUGGGUGUAGGUAUAGUGUAGAUUAUAUAUUAAUAUAAUUAAACCUAAAUCCAUUAUAAUUUAUACUUGCCCUUCAUUUAUAUGUAGAAUAUAAAUCAUCUUUAUCAAAUGUGUUGCCAAACUAUUUGCCAACAUUGAUUUGGCAAAAUAUUCUUAAAAUAAAUCAUUGUGAUUUUUCACAAGUAUAAGUUCUUCAGUACCUAAUAUAUUCAAAAGUAAAUGCUGUCCUUCUCUCCAUCAACUGUUUAUUUGUUGUAGAUUUUUGUGUUUAAGUGCUUCAAAGUCUUAUGCAUUUUUUUCUGAAAAAAAAAAAGAGUUUGUUUUGAAUCUCUGUACUCUAUGAUGUGAACUUCUCUCAAGUUCCUAAAUUAAAAAGAAAUUAUUUGCUUUGAAGAAUUAUUCGUACAUUGUCUGAAUAGAAAUUAUUUUUUCAAAGUGGAAUUUGAUUUUUUUUUUUUUUUCAACGAAUCCUGGCAGAGAAUGUUUUAGGUCUGUGCUAACUCUUCAAUAUCAGACAGGACAUUUAGUUUCCUUUCUAAGAAUGGACAAGGAUUUAAUUUCAUGGUAAUAUGAUAGUAAGAAAAUGCUUCAAGGCAGGGGAAGGCAUGGUUAAAGUUUAGCAUCAAACAGUUAAAUACAAACAUGGGUUUGUUUUUAGCACUUCAGUUCACAUACUCUUAUCUGCAGAAAGUGAUAUAAAAUUUUGGUUGGAUUACGUUUUAUUGUACUUAUUAGAUUCACUUAUCUGGAUGACUUACGCAGAAGUAAAACAUCAUGUCUUUGCAAGCCAAAUUCUGAUGACCUGCCUGUUGCUUUUGGUAUCUGGAAUGGGAUCCAUGGAUUCUGGUGGCUCCCACUGGUUGUUAGAUGGUUGAAAUGGUCCACUGAUGGUCAAAUGAGUGUUCUGGGCUGUGAAACCAUGGAAUUCUUCCACCUCCAAGAAUGACUCAUCUGCCGUUGGAUUUCAGUACAAAAUUUAGUAGCUUAAUGUGUCCUAAAUUAAUUUAGUCUGCUGACAUGCUCCUGUGUACAUUGUUUUACAAUUUAACCAAAGUGCUACUUGUGCGUACUUUGUAAUUUUUCCUAGUGAGUUGAUGUAAUUGCUGCUUUGACCAUUGUUUUAAAUGUAUGUAUUAGAGUAAUAGUGAACAGACUAAAAUCAGAUAUCUCAGUGUUCAAAAUACCAUUUUAAUAAAGUACAUUCAUUAAGCACUUUUAAAAA